rnacentral:rRNA from 1 species
AACGUAGGACACAAGCGUUAUCCGGAGUUACUGGGCGUAAAGGGCGUGUAGGCGGAUUGAUAAGUCUACUCUGAAGCUUCUGGCUAAACUGGAAGAGGCGAGUGGAGACUGUCAGUCUAGAGUGAGGAAGAGGAAAAGUGGAAUUCCGCGUGUAGUGGUGAAAUGCGUAGAUAUCUGGAGGAACACCGGUGGCGAAGGCGGUUCUCUGGGAAUGACCUGACGCUGAGGAGCGAAAGUGUGGGGAGCGAACAGG